UUUUUGCGUGAGGGAUGGCAGUGGAGCUCUUUUAUUUAAGGCGCUUUUUUUCGCCUUAAAUAAAAAGCGGGAACGUACAGCCCGACCUCGU
rnacentral:sRNA from 1 species